UACGUAGGGGGCAAGCGUUGUCCGGAAUCAUUGGGCGUAAAGCGCGUGUAGGCGGUCCGAUCAGUCGGCUGUGAAAGUCCAGGGCUCAACCCUGGGAUGCCGGUCGAUACUGUCGGGCUAGAGUCCGGAAGAGGCGAGUGGAAUUCCGGGUGUAGUGGUGGAAUGCGUAGAGCUCCGGAGGAACACCAGUGGCGAAGGCGGCCGCCUGGGCCAGUCCUGACGCUGAGCCGCGAAAGCGUGGGGAGCGAUCCGG
rnacentral:rRNA from 1 species